rnacentral:rRNA from 1 species
UAGCGAAGGGUGCAAGCGUUACUCGGAAUUACUGGGCGUAAAGCGUGCGUAGGUGGUUCGUUAAGUCUGAUGUGGAAGCCCUGGGCUCAACCUAGGAACUGCAUUGGAUACUGGCGAUCUGGAGUGCGGUAGAGGGUGGCGGAAUUCCCGGUGUAGCAGUGAAAUGCGUAGAUAUCGGGAGGAACAUCCGUGGCGAAGGCGGCCGACCUGGACCAGCACUGACAC